CUGACAACUGUGACUUCUUCUUUGUGGCGUUCUGAUGGUUAUGUCAUAUAAGAAUCACCUUAUAUCAUUUGAGGAGCUGCUGACACAGAGCACCGGUUUGAUGGAUGACCUGAGCUGCCGCUAUUCCCUCAGAGUCUUCUCUGUAUGGAAUGAAGUACUGGUUCUCAGUGGAAAUAGCAUCAAUUCUGCUUGCUAAAGAAGUCAUAAGAAGCCAAAGGUGGAAGAAAGCUUUAUCACAAAACUACAUUACUCACUAUGAACUACAGGCAUGAAUCUGGAACUACAGCAACCAUUUCAAUAAGAGAAUGACUUCGAAGCAAACGUACGAAAGAGAACUGAAAUGAGGAGGACCAUGCUUCUAUGAAUUCCAUGCUACUGACAUGAUGAUUUAACCAAGUUAUACUUGGAGAUUAUACCAGAGAGCAACUUGAGGUAAGAGGGCAGAAAUGGAAACCUAAGAAAGGAAGUUGCGCUGUGCCAUGGGAAGUGACAAAUGAUGUGGCCACCAGCCAGCCUGGGGAGUCACUGCUGCUGCUUUCUGCUACUGCUUCCUGCCUCUUUGGGUUCAAGCUCCCAAGGCCAGGCCAUCAUUGCUUCAGCGAAGAAGCUCAAGUGCGUGAAGCAGCUGGCCAACCAAACUGUAGGCAGAGCUAAGGAAACAGAAGACCUCUGUGAAGAUAUGUCACAACUCAAGCUUCACUUGGAUGGUGCAGUCCAUGUGCCAACAUUUCCACAAGUGCCUGAUGGUUUGUUUUCAGGGCCAGCAUGGCACCAACGCCAGAGGAGGAACAGAAAAGGAACUUUGACAGUUUUCACUCAGAAUAUGCACGAAGCAUCAGCUUAGUUAGAAGACUUUCUCUGGGAGAGAUGGUAGAUACAUGUGGGGAUGCUGAGAAUCAACUGGUUCUAGAACUCUUUUAGUAUAAGUUCUUUGUUGCAAAGAUUUUGGGUCUUCUGCAUGGCAUAGCGUGUUAGAGCCAAGACUAAGCUGGCAAAUCUUCAGGAGUC